rnacentral:miRNA from 1 species
CAAGUCAUUAUUUGCUGCUUUA